CUGUGUGUGUGUCUUUCUCCACAUGCAGUAUGCCUGGGGAGAAGCCUUGUGGUCAAAGUGCCUGCUUUAACCCAAUAACAGAACGUUGCUGUGUGAACCCUACAUCUCUCCAGGGACAAAGUUACUCACAUGACCAGACCUGCUGUGAUGGAACACUCAGCCAUACUCCAGGUCAGCUGACUCCGCAUGUGAGCCAGCUGGUGUCAGAUUGCUGUGGCUCUAGGGCCUGUGAUCCACUCAACCAGUGUGACUUACAGAUUCUAACCAGGACCCAACCCCAUUCCAAGUGUUGUGGAAAAGAGCUUUACAAUAAAGACCACCAGCUCUGCUGUGGACAUGUCGAUAAAGGAAGGAAGGUCCUGACCAAAAUGUCCCGUCACCACCUGUGCUGUGGAGACCAACAGUUUGAUCCGCGAAGCCACUGCUGCUGCCAACACAUCACUGAACCAUUAAACCCUCAGCCUCUCAAUGCAAGCUGCUGUGCCAUCCAGGAAUUGCGACGUACUCCCCCAGCGCAAACUGUUCAGAACAAAACAAUUGCUCAGAGUUCUCCAAACUGUAUGCCUGGGGAGAAGCCUUGUGGUCAAAGUGCCUGCUUUAACCCAAUAACAGAACGUUGCUGUGUGAACCCUACAUCUCUCCAGGGACAAAGUUACUCACAUGACCAGACCUGCUGUGAUGGAACACUCAGCCAUACUCCAGGUCACUACCAUAGUGCUAGCUGUGGCUCUAAGGUGUACAAUCCAGACAUCAAAACUUGCUGUUGCGGGAAGGUGUCCAAUAAGGUGCUUGGAGUAAACCUGUGCUGCGGUACAACUCCGUAUGGUGUAGAGGACCGAGGGGUGCUGUGCUGUAACCAGACCUUGCACCAUGUGGUGGAGGAUGGGUACCAGUGCUCCCCAGGUGGCCACUUGUAUCUGCCAUCCCGUGAGAUGGUGUGUGGCUCACGAGUUCAUCUGAACGAUCCAGGCAAACACUGCUGUGGGGAGGAGACAUACUACCCUCGGAAUGAAAUCUGCUGCAACGGACGCAAACACCACAGGUUGAGAAAUGUUUCCUGCUGCGGAGGGAAGGCCUACGACCCCAGCAGUGGACAGAUGAAGUGCUGUGCAGGGACUCUGUACAACCUGCAGGUUCAGGACAGGCUCCCAGGUGAGGCCCAGUGCUGUGGGAGUGUCCUGAUGGAGGCCGGCUCCACCCAGACCUGCUGUUCUGCCCAAGGGCUAGACCUGCUCUACCCUACCCAGCCAGGGUUCACCUGCUGUGGGCACCGCUAUCCCAAUGCCUCCCUGUGGUCUUGCUGCGCCGGGGUCCUGCACCCAAGGCCUGAACCACACAACACCACCAAUAACGUGAUUCCAGGACCCAGACUUCUACCACUGGGGGAUCUGAAGACUGAAGUCCUGUGUCACAGCAGAAUUCUGGUAGGGACAGUGGAGAGUGUGUCCAUGAAGAUCAAUAAGCGGUCCAUCGUGAUGGUGAACGCCAUGUACAUGCUGGCCUCGCGUGGCCAUGUCAGCGCCGUGCCUUCCCCUCACUACGUCACAUUACCCGACCACUGCAGCUUCCCUGAACUGGUGCCGGGCAACACUUACAUCUGGGUGAAAAAUAAUUUCUCAGGCACCAUAAGAUUCAUCUCUGAUCUCAGCGACGAUUCCUUCCCUCUCCAUUCCAUCCUUACCAUGUGCUGAACCUUUUUCUUGCCCAGAGUAAAGCUCUACAUAAUGUUUGAAAGCUUUACAGUGUUUGUUUGCAAGUACAUUGUUAACAAUCAACGGUGUAAUAAAAAGCUCAUCUUGGGUUCAGAUGGGGUUCGACAAGUAGACAAUGUGUGUGAAGUGAAUAUCACAUUGUGCAGGAAAAAAAGCCUAUUUUAACCAAGCAUUUGUGUGUAGGUGUAUGACUUCACCAUGCAUCAAUUCAGGUGGUUUUGUGGGGGGUGGUUGCCUUUUUCCCAUCAUCAUACACGUACCACAUUAUCUGAUACUUGAUCACAGGAUCACAUUUUUGUUUGAUUAUUUCACUGCCAUACUGUGUUUGAUCUUGUCUAGCCAACUUGUCUCAAGUCCCAGACUUUAUUGUGUGUCAUCCUCAAUGUUUUUAUUCAUUUUAUUCAGAUGUUAUGAAUUUUGUCUUGUUGCUUUUUGUUCUGUUGCUCUGCGUGUGCUGAAACAUUGAUUAAUGUGCACUGUCCCUGUAAAAAAAAAAAAAAAAUUAAACUUAAUGUGCAUGCAUGGCUUUUAAGUUAUGUGUGCUUGUCUUUUUAAAUGGUCGAAUUAUUAAACUAAACUAAAGAAUGUUGUUUAAGAUUAAAGGAUCAACGGGAAUUGGAAGGUUGUUACAUGCUCGCCCACUCCUACAACUUGCCUCUGAGACUUGAAUGAAGCAAUGCAUAAACAUCCUAGG
ensembl:lncRNA